GGGUCUUCCGGAGCCUCCGGUCGCGGGUCUAAGAGGACUAGGGCGGGAGCGGCGCGGAAGAAAGAGAGGACUGCGUUUUGGGGCGUUCUGUCAGAGGGGAAGGACGUGUGGAUUGGAGUCAGACUGCACUCCCGCCCUAUUUCUGCAAGUAGAACUCACUGCCUUUAGAAACGGUCUUCUGAGGCUCUGUUGGGAGGCUCUAACUGUAUUACAGAGGACACAUUUUUGUUUGUUUUUAUGUGAAACAUUCAGAAGUUGCUUGCAUCAAGUGCUUUACAAGUACACUGGUUUUCAAACUUUUAAAGUUGAGGAACUGUUUUGAUUUUUGUAAAAAUAGAACUUUACUUGGAAGCCCAAGGUCGCUUAGAAACUAGUACUCUCAGAACAUGGAGUGGAAGAGGUGAUCAUGGUAGCAACAGACUGAGGAGUGAAUUUGAACUUGAGUUUUGUCUUGCUGUUUUUCAUUGAUGGAACCCAACUGGAAAUCAGAAUACAAGGGCACUCGAUUAAUUCAGUUCACAGAGGACUUCUUCCUGUGGCACGGAGCAUGGUGGGGAAAGGUACAAAGUAGACCUCGAGAAACAAACAGCAUGGUGACCAGUCACAAAAUGUAUACAGAAAAUUAACAGAUUUUUUUUCCUUGAAGAGAUCAAAUCUAAAAAACAGUAUAAAAAUAAGAAUGUGCAGGAUCUAUAUAAAGAAAUCUAUACUCUACCAAGGUACCUG
rnacentral:lncRNA from 1 species